rnacentral:rRNA from 1 species
AGGACGAACGCUGGCGGCGUGCUUAACACAUGCAAGUCGAGCGGAAAGGCCCUUCGGGGUACUCGAGCGGCGAACGGGUGAGUAACACGUGAGCAACCUGCCCUUAGCUCCGGGAUAGCUCCGGGAAACCGGAAUUAAAUACCGGAUAUGACCUAGGCCGACAUCGGCUGUGGCGGAAAGUUUUUCGGCUGGGGAUGGACUCGCGGCCUAUCAGCUUGUGGUGGGUAAUGGCCUACAAGGCGACGACGGGUA